GGCAGAGUCUGAGGGGUGGGCUGGGCGCCCGGGGCCAGCGUCCAGUGGGGAGUGGACAGAACAUCGGGGCCAGCUCCCGGCGAGGAAUGGACAGGGGACGGGUCCAGCUCCCGGUGAGGAGUGGACAGAACAUGGGGCCAGCGCCCAGUGAGGAGUGGACAGGACAUCGGGGCCAGCGCCCGUGCUACAGGCCUGUCCACCUUCCACCUGCUUCUGAGGAUGUUUCCGUGGCUAACUUGGAAGUGAAACAAUAGUAGCAAUGAUAAUUAUUAUGGAGCACCUGCCUUGGAAAGUUCCUUAGUCUUUCCCGUCUCCGAUGAGGAACUCUAUGGCACGACGCAGCAGUGCUCGCUGCCUCCUGCCGGUCCUGCUCACCAAGUGACUGGUCAAGAGGAGAGGACGGUCUUCAUCUGAAUAAUGUCUAUAAGUAAACUCUUGAUUUUUUUUCUCCUCCAAAUUCCUUCCGUCUUUGCCAUCUCAGCAAUCGACAACUUCCUUAGUCUGCGUUCUGGUUGAAAGCAUCCCGGUGCCCCUGACUCAUUUAGCUAAGACACGCCACUGGGGACUGGGGACCCAGGUCAGACAAAUGGACAGCUUUGAGAUACGCCCACUGGCGCUGGCCCUGAGUGGUCUCUCCUCUGACCUUCCUAGAGGUCAGGAAGAGAGGGACCAGGAGAGAAUCUGCUGAGGAAUCUAACAAAUUUAAACAAAUUCAAGGGAUAAUUUUGAAGAGCAUUGACAACACUUGGAGGUUCGUUAGUGCUGUAGAAUGAAGAGGAGAAGAAUUAAUGACUCUCAGCGUUUGUACAGAGGGGAGGGCACUUGCCUUGCUUGUGGCCGACCCACUUAGGUCACCAGCACCAAGCAUGGUUUCUGGGCCUUGCCAGCUUGAUUCCUGGGUGAGCCCCAGGCCCCGAUGGGUAGGACGCCCAAAGCAAAUAAUAAAAAAUGGAAUAAUUUUUAAA